AAAACAGGAGCGGUUCGCCCUAUAAGGAAAUUCCCCGCCUCCCAGCCCAUCAUGCCUUGCUGCCGACUUCCGGUUCUCCAGGGUAUAAAGCGGCGGCUCCGGGCCAAAUUUCAGGAGAAGCUUUGGUGCGAGCCUCUUGACUCUUCUGACCUGGAUCGUUUUCCCUGGAAUAAAUGGUGUCAGACUCGUUGCUAAAUAGUCUGACAACCAGAGGGGACGAGCCCAUGGCUGCCGAAGGUUCCAGGUCAGCCCCCAGAGCCCGGUGAAGCCACUCUACCUCCCGCUCGCUCUUCGCGUCUCAGGUAAUCUUCGAAGCAAGGGAAGAGAAGAGUAUGCUAUCCUGUCAUGACAUUUCUUUUCAAAAUACGUGGCUUAAAGAGGAACGGAAAGAGAAGUCAUUAUUUCCAAACUUCAAGGACAGAGAUCCUCUAGGAUUCUACCCAGUAUUGAGCUUGCAUUCCUGUUGUUUCAUGAGGACAAUGCAGAGGAACUCAUGUGUAUGCUGUGUAUGCAGUGGUUUGGAGUCACAAGUGAGGAAUACUGAGCCUGCAGAAGCCACUGUAUUAAUAACUCUUGGCAUUUUCAACGAAGCCAUUAUGAGGCACAUGUGGAAGUUUGACCUCUUUGAAAAACUACUUGAGAGUGUUCUUCCUCUUUGUAAAAAAGAAUAA
ensembl:lncRNA